rnacentral:rRNA from 1 species
CACGCUGUAAACGAUGAGCACUAGGUGUAGGCGGUGUCAAAGCUGUCUGUGCCGAAGCAAACGCGAUAAGUGCUCCGCCUGGGGAGUACGGCCGCAAGGCUAAAACUCAAAGGAAUUGACGGGGGCCCGCACAAGCAGCGGAGCGUGUGGUUUAAUUCGAUGCAACGCGAAGAACCUUACCUGGGCUUGACAUGCAUGUAGUAGUGAAGCGAAAGCGGAACGACCCUUCGGGGAGCAUGCACAGGUGC